rnacentral:rRNA from 1 species
GACGAACCGUGCGAACGUUGUUCGGAUUCACUGGGCUUAAAGGGCGCGUAGGCGGAUUCGCAAGUCCGGGGUGAAAUCUUUCGGCUCAACCGGAAAAGUGCCUUGGAUACUGCGAGUCUCGAGGGAGGUAGGGGCCGCGGGAACUUCCGGUGGAGCGGUGAAAUGCGUUGAUAUCGGAAGGAACGCCGGUGGCGAAAGCGCGCGGCUGGUCCUCUUCUGACGCUGAGGCGCGAAAGCUAGGGGAGCAAACGGG